rnacentral:rRNA from 1 species
GCAAGCGCGAAACCUUAUACACGUGCACGACAGUGCGAUAAGGGAAUCCCAAGUGCGUAGGCAUAGAGCCUACGCUUUUGUCCACCCUAGGGCGGUGGACGAAUAAGGGCUGGGCAAGACCGGUGCCAGCCGCCGCGGUAAUACCGGCAGCCCGAGUGAUGGCCGAUUUUAUUGGGCCUAAAGCGUCCGUAGCUGGCCGCGCAAGUCCAUCGGAAAAUCCACCCGCUCAACGGGUGGGCGUCCGGUGGAAACUGCGUGGCUUGGGACCGGAAGGCGCGACGGGUACGUCCGGGGUAGGAGUGAAAUCCCGUAAUCCUGGACGGACCGCCGAUGGCGAAAGCACGUCGCGAGAACGGAUCCGACAGUGAGGGACGAAAGCUAGGGUCUCGAACCGGAUUAGAUACCCGGGUAGUCCUAGCCGUAAACAAUGCCUGUUAGGUGUGGCUCCCACUACGAGUGGGUGCUGUGCCGUAGGGAAGCCGCUAAACAGGCCGCCUGGGAAGUACGUCCGCAAGGAUGAAACUUAAAGGAAUUGGCGGGGGGAGCACAAGGAAGGGGGGGAA